ACCGAGGUCUAUGUGGACCCCGUUUCCCCAGCUUGUUCCCUUCCGCACCUCUCCGCGGUGCGGGCUUCUGGGAUGAAGACACUGAAGUCUAGGUGGGCCCAGUUUCCCCAGAUUGUCCCUGACUGCACCUCUCGCUUCUGGGAUGAAGAGACUGAGGUCUAGGUGGACCCAGUUUCCCCAGCUUGUCCCUGACUGCACCUCUCUGCUGUGUGGACUUCUGGAGAGGGGGAAAGGGAGACACACUGUGGGUGAGGAGCCUGAGGUCCAGGUGGAAUCAGUUCCCCAGCGUCUCCCCGUCCGCACUGAUCCCGCUAGGUGGGUUUCUAGGGAGGGAGAAGGGGGAGCCACUCUGGGGGUGAGGAGAGUGAGGUCCAGGUGGACCCGGGCCUCCCUUAUCCGACGGCCUCCUCGGGCCGGUCUUCGCCCACCAGGGUGAGCUGAAAGCCACUAUCUCCUUCCACCAGCUACUAAAAAUACCCGCACGCUGCCCACCUCCCGGCGGGGAGAGGCCUGGGGCGGGCGCCAGCCCCAUCCAGCCCGAAGCCGGCGCCUGCUGGGGUAGAGCUGGGUCCCCAGAGACCUGGGUCCUCGGCCCAUAAAAGCCCUGGCCGGGCCUCGAGGGGGGGGGAAUUUACGACGAGCCCCUGCGGAGUAUGGAAAAAGCCCGGCUCGGUGUUUAGAUUUCCCCACGGUGUCACCUUGAUGCUUGGCAGGCCUCGGGUGUUGGGUUGCCAGUGCGCGGGAGGGGUCGGCGGGUCCCACGGUCGGUCUGAGGGGCGGGGAAGGGGCGAGGAAUUUGGAGGCCCAGGAC
rnacentral:lncRNA from 1 species